rnacentral:rRNA from 1 species
GAUGAACGCUGGCGGCGUGCCUAAUACAUGCAAGUCGAGCGAACAGACGAGGAGCUUGCUCCUCUGACGUUAGCGGCGGACGGGUGAGUAACACGUGGAUAACCUACCUAUAAGACUGGGAUAACUUCGGGAAACCGGAGCUAAUACCGGAUAAUAUAUUGAACCGCAUGGUUCAAUAGUGAAAGACGGUUUUGCUGUCACUUAUAGAUGGAUCCGCGCCGCAUUAGCUAGUUGGUAAGGUAACGGCUUACCAAGGCGACGAUGCGUAGCCGACCUGAGAGGGUGAUCGGCCACCCUGGAACUGAGACACGGUCAAGACUCCGACGGGAGGCAGCAGUAGGGAAUCUUCCGCAAUGGGCGAAAGCCUGACGGAGCAACGCCGCGUGAGUGAUGAAGGUCUUCGGAUCGUAAAACUCUGUUAUUAGGGAAGAACAAAUGUGUAAGUAACUAUGCACGUCUUGACGGUACCUAAUCAGAAAGCCACGGCUAACUACGUG